UACAGGGGGUGCAAACGUUGCUCGGAAUCAUUGGGCGUAAAGCGCACGUAGGCGGUUCGUUAUGUCGGAUGUGAAAGCCCUUGGCUUAACCGAGGAAGUGCAUCCGAAACUGGCGGAGCUAGAGUACUAAAGAGGAUCGCGGAAUUCCCGGUGUAGAGGUGAAAUUCGUAGAUAUCGGGAGGAACACCGGUGGCGAAGGCGGCGAUCUGGGUAGAUACUGACGCUGAGGUGCGAAAGCGUGGGGAGCAAACAGGG
rnacentral:rRNA from 1 species